UGGCCUUGACAUACUAAGAACUUUCCAGAGAUGGAUUGGUGCCUUCGGGAACUUAGAUACAGGUGCUGCAUGGCUGUCGUCAGCUCGUGUCGUGAGAUGUUGGGUUAAGUCCGCAACGAGCGCAACCCUUUUCCUUAUUUGCCAGCGGGUAAUGCCGGGAACUUUAAGGAUACUGCCAGUGACAAACUGGAGGAAGGCGGGGACGACGUCAAGUCAUCAUGGCCCUUACGGCCAGGGCUACACACGUGCUACAAUGGUCGGUACAAAGGGUUGCUACCUCGCGAGAGGAUGCUAAUCUCAAAAAGCCGAUUGUAGUCCGGAUCGCAGUCUGCAACUCGACUGCGUGAAGUCGGAAUCGCUAGUAAUCGCGGAUCAGAAUGCCGCGGUGAAUACGUUCCCGGGCCUUGUACACACCGCCCGUCACACCAUGGGAGUUUGUUGCACCAGAAGUAGGUAGUCUAACCGCAAGGAGGACGCUUACCACGGUGUGGCCGAUGACUGGGGUGAAGUCGUAACAAGGUAGGCGUAGAUGA
rnacentral:rRNA from 1 species